GGUACACGAAUGUAUUUAACCAACAAGUUGAAGAUCGAUGAAAAUGUCGUGGAAGGAAAGUUGUUCCUGUGCCUUAACAGACCACGGUUAUCGACCAGAAAUUCGUCACAUGGUCGUUGGGUACAUCAGGGUGAUUUUGGUUGGAUCGUCUGGCCUGUACCACCGAUGUAUCUGUUUCGUAGAUAUGCAUACGAAGUCACCGAACCUGCAAGUGAAUCUAACUCAUUUGAGACAACAACAAGCGACUAUGGAAAAAAAUACAAACAUCGCGGUAACAAGUUACAUUUUUUAAAUGACACGGCUUGGUCCUAUACAAAAAUGAACCGGACGAACACUUUAGUCACCGGUAAUGGCCUCAGGUGCAAAUUCCUCGUCAAAGCCGUUAAAAAGCCAAACUUAUUGGACGACUACAGCAAGUCGGAACCCUCAAACCUUCAGCGUGAAACAGUUUAUUUAUGUGAGCACUAGUCGGCCGUAGCGGAUAAAUACAGAAAAAGCGAUAAUAGAUAACGCCGAAAAAAUUGAGUAAUGCUAAUUAUGCCUGUACUCGAAUUGCACCCAAAUUUAGUUGUUUGAGAGGGUACCUGAAGUCGCACAUAUCACCUAAAUUUUUUUUAGAAAUUAUAUUCACUAUUAAACUAUAUGCACGAGUAUUUUGCACUCAUUCUAAAAAUCGAUUUUAUUAUAAUUUUAUCGAAUUAUAAAUAUAAAGUUAUUAUACUCA